rnacentral:rRNA from 1 species
UUUCUCUCAAGAAGAAUAUAUAGCAUGCAUGUAUCAGUACAGACUUUAACAAAGUGAAACCGCAAACGGCUCAUUAUAACAGCUAUAAUUUACUCGGUCUUGAACAGCUACACGGAUAACUGUGGUAAUUCUAGAGCUAAUACGUGCACCGAAGCUGUCCCCUCGCGGGACAGUGCAUUUAUUGGAGCAAAACCAGGCGACCUCGGUCGUUAAAGCUGACACAGAAUAACUAAGCUGACCGCAUGGGCUUGUCCCGGCGGCGUACCGUUCAAGUAUCUGCCUUAUCAACUUUCGAUGGUAGUGUACGUGACUACCAUGGUUGUGACGGGUAACGGAGGAUAAGGGUUCGACUCCGGAGAAGGGGCCUGAGAAAUGGCCACUACGUCUAAGGAUGGCAGCAGGCGCGCAAAUUACCCACUCUCGGUUCGAGGAGGUAGUGACGAAAAAUAACAAGGCAGUUCUCUACGAGGCCUGCCAUUGGAAUGGGUACAAUUCAAACCCUUUAACGAGUAUCAAUGAGAGGGCAAGUCUGGUGCCAGCAGCCGCGGUAAUUCCAGCUCUCAAAAUGCAUAGAAUCAUUGCUGCGGUUAAAAAGCUCGUAGUUGGAUCUGUGCCGGCGACGUGGUCCACCCUAACGGGCGGCACUGCGCUCGUCGGCUUUGGGCCGGUUUUCGUGCGGUGGCCUUCAACGGUCACCGUUCGUGGCUGGCUGGUUUACUUUGAGCAAAUCAGAGUGCUCAGCACAGGCGUUUCGCCGGAAUGUUCGUGCAUGGAAUAAUAGAAAAGGAUUUCGGUCCUCUUUUAUUGGUUUUGUGGACUGAGAUAAUGGUUUAACAGAGACGAACGGGGGCAUUCGUWYUGCYGYKUGAGGRGAGUGAAAUUCUUGGACCGCAGCAGGACGGACUACAGCGAAAGCAUUUGCCAAGCGCGUCUUCAUUAAUCAAGAACGAAAGUCAGAGGUUCGAAGGCGAUCAGAUACCGCCCUAGUCCUCUGASCGWMRACGMUGMYAAMWAGCGAUCCGCCGGUGGCCUCAGGCCCUGGUGGGGAGCUUCCCGGAAACGAAAGUCUUCCGGUUCCGGGGGAAGUAUGGUUGCAAAGCUGAAACUUAAAGGAAUUGACGGAAGGGCACCACCAGGAGUGGAGCCUGCGGCUUAAUUUGACUCAACACGGGAAAACUCACCCGGCCCGGACACCGUAAGGAUUGACAGAUUGAUAGCUUUUUCAUGAUUCGGUGGUUGGUGGUGCAUGGCCGUUCUUAGUUCGUGGAUCGAUUUGUCUGGUUUAUUCCGAUAACGAGCGAGACUCCAGCCUACUAAAUAGUGCGGACAUUGCCUCUGUGUUUGUCACUUCUUAGAGGGAUUGGCUGCGUCUAGCGGCACGAAACGGAGCAAUAACAGGUCUGUGAUGCCCUUAGAUGUCCGGGGCUGCACGCGCGCUACACUGGCAAAGGCAGCGUGCUUGUCCGUCUCCGAAAGGAGCCGGUAAACCCUUGAAAAUUUGCCGUGAUUGGGAUCGGAAAUUGCAAUUAUUUUCCGUGAACGAGGAAUUCCUAGUAAGUGCGAGUCAUCAGCUCGCGUUGAUUACGUCCCUGCCCUUUGUACACACCGCCCGUCGCUGCCUAGAACUGAGCCAUUUCGAGAAUAUUCGGGAUCGCUGGUUGCGGGGCCUUCACGGGCACGCCUCUGGGCCGGAGAACGAACGUAAUCGCAGUGGCUUGAACCGGGCAAAAGUCGUACACAAAAGGAUAGCA